UCUGGGACGGAAGGAUUCGAACCUCCGAAUAGCGGGACCAAAACCCGUUGCCUUACCACUUGGCCACGCCCCA
rnacentral:tRNA from 1 species